CUUCACAAUAAAUAGAACCAUUUGAACUGCUUGCACCCACCCAUUGGUCCGUCGCCCUGUGUGAAACAUCAAGUAGAAGAAGAACCGGUGUUGGAGUCGGGCAUAUACUGCAUGUGAGAUCCUGCCGGGCUGCCACUGAACCGAGCGAGCAAUAUGGACUACGAUGGAUCGCAGGUACCACUGUACGACCAGACCGCGUACGACCAGUCCUCGUACGACCAGUUCCCGUACGAGCAGUCCAUGUACGACCAGUCAACGUACGACGAGUUAGCGUAUGGCCAGUCACAGCUGUAUGGAACUGAGGCGCACGGGACAGAGGGCUUUGGUCCCGUAACUAGUACAGGUACACAAAGUACAGCUACGGAUGAAGACCAGAAAGACAG